AGUUACUGAAGUUGCGCGUGUCAAAUAGGUACAUGCAUGAUUCAGUACUCCUAACGAAAUCAGAACUGGGAACGCAAAAUGUAGAACCCUGAGAAGUCAAGUUGUGGUUGAGAAAAAAGAGUAUGAGGCAUGAUUUUGUAUUCCAUGGCAAACCAUCCAUACAUAAAAUUGUCUUCCGUAUUUACCCCACGUUUGCUUUGGGUACAUGUCAACUUCUGAAUGUGUUGAAAAUAUCUUUCUUCCAAUAAUGCAAGCAUCCCACCAUGCCAAAUGUAUUUUGCAUCUGAUAUCCGACCCUCAUUCCGUCUGCUUAGCUUAAUAAUUAUGCGAAGUAUGCCUUCUGCGCCUCCUCCCCUGUUCCCUCGUGUUGAAACUGACCAAUGUUGUCUUUCUAUGGAAAUACAGGUUGCGUCUAGGGAGCGUGCUGCCAGACAGAACCCAUUUCCUUCAAGAAUGAGUGCCCUUGAGUAGUCAAUUCACAAAUUGGCUUUGGGAUAAGAUAUGGGAAAAGCAGAUUGAACGCAGAGAGGACCAAAUCAAUGCAGGAGAUUGUCUGCGUCUGCUCGGAAGCCAGAGGCUGAGAAUAGCAGGUUGUGUAGAUGCGAGUGACCUGCUUUGAGGAUGUACAUUUCUGAAAACCGUGUUUUGCUGUCAUAGUUCAUGGAUGUACUUCACUUAGAGGAGAUUCCUGUUAAGCAUAUUGUCAAGCGGUGGACCAAGGACGUGAAGAACAUACUACCCUAGCACCUGAUUCAAUACCAGAAAGACCAUUCAGUUAACUUGUCUUUCACGUGCAGACAUUCGACGCUAUAUAUGAAAGCUAUGGAUGUCAUGAUGAUGGGGGAUGCGAGUGCAGAGUCAUUCGAGCACAUGUUAGCUAGUCUGAAUGAUUGUUGGUUACUAGUGCACCGUUUGCAGAGAAGAGAGAUUGUUUGGCUUUUGAGGACCGAUUGGCAAAGGUCUUGCAGUCCCGGAUAAGCAGAGGGGUUGGAAGGCCGACAGAUACUGGAGAAGGCACCAUACGAGGGUCUGAGCAAAUGGACAAAGUUCUGCAGCUUCUGCCGGCGCGAGGGACACAAGUGAACAACCUGC